rnacentral:rRNA from 1 species
GACGAACGCUGGCGGCGUGCUUAACACAUGCAAGUCGAACGGUGAACCUCUUCGCUGGGGCUCAGUGGCGGACGGGUGAGUAACACGUGGGCAACCUGCUCCCGGCUCUGGGAUAACUCCAAGACAUUGGGGCUAAUUACGUAUGUUCACCGCUUCCCGCAUGGGAGGUGGUGAAAAGGGUUUCCGGCUGGGGGUGGCACCGCGGCCUAUCAGCUUGUUGGUGUGGUAGUGGCGUACCAAGGCGACGACGGGUAGCCGGCCUGCGAGGGUGACCUGCCACAGUGGGACUGAGGCAGGGCCCAGAGGCCAACGGGAGGCAGCAGGGGGGAAUAGUGCGCGAUGGGCGGAGUCCGGACGCAGCGACGCCGCGUGGGGGAUGACGGCCGUCGGGUUGGAAACCGCGUUCAGCAGGGACGAAGCGCAAGUGGCGGUACCUGCAGAAGAAGCACCGGCCAACUACGUG